CACGAACGCUGGCGGCAGGCUUAACACAUGCAAGUCGAGCGCCCCGCAAGGGGAGCGGCAGACGGGUGAGUAACGCGUGGGAAUCUACCCAUAUCUACGGAAUAACGCAUGGAAACGUGUGCUAAUACCGUAUACGUCCUUCGGGAGAAAGAUUUAUCGGAGAUGGAUGAGCCCGCGUUGGAUUAGCUAGGUGGUGGGGUAAAGGCCUACCAAGGCGACGGUCCAUAGCUGGUCUGAGAGGAUGAUCAGCCACACUGGGACUGAGACACGGCCCAGACUCCUACGGGAGGCGGCAGUGGGGAAUAUUGGACAAUGGGCGCAAGCCUGAUCCAGCCAUGCAGCGUGAGUGAUGAAGGCCCUAGGGUUGUAAAGCUCUUUCACCGGUGAAGAUAAUGACGGUAACCGGAGAAGAAGCCCCGGCUAACUUCGUGCCAGCCGCCGCCGUAAUAC
rnacentral:rRNA from 1 species